AGUGAACGCUGGCGGUAGGCCUAACACAUGCAAGUCGAACGGCAGCACAGUAAGAGCUUGCUCUUACGGGUGGCGAGUGGCGGACGGGUGAGGAAUCCAUCGGAAUCUACUUUUUCGUGGGGGAUAACGUAGGGAAACUUACGCUAAUACCGCAUACGACCUACGGGUGAAAGCAGGGGAUCUUCGGACCUUGCGCGAUUGAAUGAGCCGAUGUCGGAUUAGCUAGUUGGCGGGGUAAAGGCCCACCAAGGCGACGAUCCGUAGCUGGUCUGAGAGGAUGAUCAGCCACACUGGAACUGAGACACGGUCCAGACUCCUACGGGAGGCAGCAGUGGGGAAUAUUGGACAAUGGGUGCAAGCCUGAUCCAGCCAUACCGCGUGGGUGAAGAAGGCCUUCGGGUUGUAAAGCCCUUUUGUUGGGAAAGAAAAGCAGCAGGUUAAUACCCCGCUGUUCUGACGGUACCCAAAGAAUAAGCACCGGCUAACUUCGUG
rnacentral:rRNA from 1 species